rnacentral:tRNA from 1 species
CGCGGGAAAUUGGUAACUCGUUAGGCUCAUAAUCUGAAUGUUGCGGGUUCGAAUCCAACUCCCGCCA